GGAUUUCCUUGCCAAUAUGAAGAAUGCAUGGAGCUUCUCAAAAAUAUUUCUGCAUUCAAAGGUUAAAAUAAUUUUAUGCAAAUGUAAACUUCAUUGCUUGUGAUAUGCAAAGUAAAGUAGCUUAUAAUGCAGUAUAGUAGAAUUAGGGCCGCAAGAAACUCCAACAAUAAAGUAGUGAAAAUAACAAUAUUGGUAAGAUAGGAAUUUUGUGAAAUUACUUUUAUUUAAUAUUCUCCGCGCAUCGCACGGGUAAGUAUAUUACUUUUUCCUUAAAGAUUGUAGUAAGUUUCUUAUAUAUUAAGAAAAGUUUUUCUUCUUUGAGUACUCCCUCCGUUUCAAUUUAGACGAGGCAGUUUGACUCGCCACGGAGUUUAAGAAAAAAGAAGUUGACUUUUGAAACUUGUGGUCUUAAAAGUUUAAGGGGUAAAAGCUUUGUAGGGCCAUGACAUUUGUGUGGUUAUAAAAGCUUCUCAUUAAGGGUAAAAUGGGUAAAAUGAAGAAUUUAAAGUUGAGUUAUUUCCAAAUUUAGAAAUGUGUCAUUUAUUUUGGAACAGACUAAAAAAGAAAGUAUCUCAUCUAAUUUGAAACGAAUGGAGUAUAUGUUUACAAAUAUUAACUACUUAGCCAUGAAAACUAAAAAAUUUCAGGUGUUAAUUUUAGUAGGAAUAACUUAAAAAAUAAAAAUAAAAAAUCUUGUCAAUUGUAUUAAUUUUCUAUGCCUUUAACUUACGGUAAGUUAUAUUAGUAUUAUGAUUAACUAUCUUAAAUUAGUCUACGGAUAUAGACUUCUUCUUUGUUUCACUGAUGAAGAAUAAAUUGGAAUUUUCAUGAGUUUUAUCUUCAUUUUAUCAACUUCAUUUGAAUAAUUAUUUUUUGUUUUAUUAUCAUAAUUUUUCUUUGUAAAUUAACCAGAUGUUUCAUAUUAAACUGUGGAGUAUAUUUCUUUCACGUUCUCACCGAGAAUAGAUUCAAUGGAGAAUAUAUAUAUAUAUAUAUAACUAAUUGGCUCUAUACACAUUUAAAGGCCUAUUAAUAGAUAAAUGCGGGUUGCUAAUUAAUUCAAAGCUCGCUAUAAAAAAAAUUAUUAUUAGAAUAAAGGAAUAAUUGUGGGAGAGUGAGAUGAGUCACGAACUAAUUCAAGAAUCGUUGCAAUAAGAAAAAAGUAUUUAAAAAUAUACAAAUAUAUGCAUUGGAUAAGAAAGAGACUAAUAAAUGGAAUACUUUAAAUACGCUUAAAAGUUUUAGAUGUACUUUAAAUAUUAGCUCAUGUGUUAACAUUGGAUUGAUAUGCUUAAGUAAUAAAAGGAUCAUGUGCGCAUUCUCGCGUCUCGAUGCCUUUAAAUUUAAAAUAAUUAUGUUUUAACCAUGUGUACAUUCCGUACUUUGGUUUAACAUCUACCUUCAAAGGAAUGCCUUGUGUGUGUACCGCAUCUAGGUCAAAAUAAUUAAUAAAAUAUAAUAAAUUAAGUGGAGUGUUAAUAGACAAGCCAUAACCGAAAAAAUACAAGAAUGGCCAAGAAUUGAAUUAAGUCGGACAUGAGUCAAUGAAAGCGAUCGUGUUAGAACCACGGGACUCGAGGGGUGCCUUAUACCUUUCCAUCGGUCAACAGAAUUCCUUACUCAGUCUUCUGUUUUUGUAGACCAUAAAUAAAGAGCCAAACCUUCCGUUUGAUAAGGGAUUAAAAAAAAAAGGUGACUUGGAACACCAAAACUUAAUUCCAAGUGGCGACUCUAAAUAAUAAAUAAUCUCUUUUCAAAACGUCACUUUAAUUGAAAAAACUCUUCCAACUCAAAUUCGUAAUAGGGUUGCAUGGGAACAAAGAGGUGUGACAGCUGUGAAUAUAUGCAAGAAUGCGUUGAAUGAAUGAUCUUACAAAGAACGUCUCUCAACUAUUCUUCUAAAUUGGGUCAAUUGAUAAUUCUACAAGCUCUUUCGAUUACCUAUGAGAGUCGUGAAAUCAACCCAAAUAAGAUAACAUAAUGUGAAUUGCAGCAAUAAUUCUCUUUCGAUUAAAGUAAAACCAUAAUUAACCUUGCAAUUCAAUUAGAAACUCAUUCAAUGAAUUCAGGCAACUAACAGAAAGCAAACCCAAAACAAUAGUCAAAUCACAAUAUCCGUCAAUAACCAUAAGAAAGAUUAUUCCAUAGUAGAGAAGUUGUUCAUCACAAGAGUAUUAAGAGAACAAGAAAAUAUUAUAAUCCCCAAAAUCAAACAAACUUUCGUAUUGAAUGAUUCAGAUGAAGUAUUCAGAGUCUAUGUUGUUUCCUUGCCUACUUCUCUCCAAAAUUUGCUCCAAAAUCCCAAAUACCUAGUUUUUGGGACGAGCUAGGCUUCAUAUAGGUUAGGAGGAUGCCUCCAGAUUUAUAAAAAUAGGCCUGACUAGAAUUCCCGGAGACGGACGUGUGCGGCCGUGCACCUGGGAGUAUGAUCGCGCACCUCUGGCAGACUUUUGUGGCACUUGCACACUCAGGUGCGCAUUUGGGGUUGCUCAUGUGCGGCAAUGCAUGAGAAUUUUUUAUUGCUCAACUUGUUUUCCUCCCACUUGGUGCACUAUUCUUCCAUUGAUCUCCUCUGCACCACCUGCACUGAAAGGCAACAUAUUAUACCAAAUCUCUAUCGAAUCAACCAAAUCAAAGACAUAAAGCGGGCAUAAAUAUUGAGUAAUUUUAAGCUCAUCAAAUACCCACACACUUAGCUUUUGCUCGUCCCGAGCAAAUCUAAAACUAAAUUGCUCCUAACACUAUAACCACCUUAGAAAAGUGGUUGGUCAUAAUCAACUCCUAACGCCGUAUUCUGCGCAAUCAAAUGCGCGGUACACCCCUCCAGGUGCGCGGUCGCGCACCUAUACACGCACAAAUUACCUUUUAAAGCCUCAAUUCUUCCAUUCCACAAUAUAUACUUUCCUGCAACCACAAAAUCAUAAUAUACACUAAACUUUACCUAGUUUAAGCUAUAAUAAAUUAAAAAAAAUUAAAAAAAUCAAGCUAGUAGAAGAGUUAGAGGUAGUUCUGAGUUAUAGUCGUCAUCUUGACUCAACCGCGCAUCCUCAACUGAUUUUGAUGCUUAAGGAUUGCUGAAAAAAUUCUCUAGCAAGAUAUAGUUUUAACAUGUGCCCAUUUACCUUGAAACUCUCUGUUCCUUCCAUGUUAUGGACCUCAAUCGCUCCAUAUGGUGAUACAUGUUUCACCACAUAUGGUCCAGUCCAUCUAGACUUAAAUUUUUCGGAGAACAAUCUGAGUCUACUAUUGUAUAGCAAGACCUUUUCCCCUUUAUGAAAUUCUUUCGGUUUAAUCAGACGGUCAUGCCAUUUCUUCGUCUUUUCCUUGAAAAUUCGCGCAUUCUCAUAUGUGUCCAAUCUGAAUUCCUCCAAGUCAUUCAAUUGUGACAUUCUGUGCUCACCUGCAAGACUAAGAUCAAGAUUAAGCAAUUUAAUAGCCCAAUAAGCUUUAUGUUCUAUCUCCACUAGUAAGUGACAUGACUUUCCAUAUACCAACUUGAAGGGUGAAGUCCAUAUGGUUGUUUUGAACGCUGUUCUAUAUACCCAUAAGGCUUCAUCUAACUUUACUGACCAAUAUUUUUUGGAAUCACUAACCGUGUUUUCUAGAAUUCUUUUGAGUUCACGGUUAGUUAUUUCUACAUGCCCACUAGUUUGAGCAUGAUAUGGGGUUCCUAUUUUAUGAGUUACCCCAUAUUUAGAUAGCAGUGUGAGAAAUUGUUUAUUGACAAAAUGCAACCCAUUGUAACUGAUGAUGACUCCGAGAGUUCCAAAACUGGUAAAAAUAUUCUUCCAAAGAAAUUCACAUACUAACUGAGCAUUGUUUGUCCUAGCGGGGAUUGCCUCGACCCACUUGGAGAUAUAGUCAACGGCUACUAGGUACUCAUAGGAAUGGGACGAUGUGGAAGGGACCCAAGAAGUUGAUGCUCCAUACAUCAAAGACUUCACAUACCAAUAUGGAAUUCAACAACGUAGGAUCUUGCUUCCUUGUACAGGGACGGCCAGUAAAAAUCGGCUUCCAUGACCUUCACUGUCGUCUGAUUUCCUCCAUUGUGUCCUCCAGCUACUCCAUUAUGACAAUGGGACAAUAUACUUCACAUUUCCCCUUCUAGUAUGCAUCUCUGAAUAAUACCAUCUUCACACAAUUUAAAUAAAAAAGGGGUCAUUCCAGAAGUAGCUUUUUACCUCGCUUUGCAGCUUCCUCUUCUGGUCAGAGGUUAGGUCAUAUGGUAGCCAUCACUAGACAAAGAGUUGGCUAUGUCCGCAUACCAUGGAGGUCUAUCAGCGACCGCUGCAAUAGAAAAUAUUUGCUCAUCCGGGAACUCUUCCCUAAUGUCCACCGCUUCAACAUGUGGUUUCUCCAAUCGCGACAAGUGGUCAUCCACUUAGUUUUCUGUGCCCUUCCUGUCUUUGAUUUCAAGAUCAAACUCUUGCAGCAACAAUACCCACCACAUCAGAUGCGAUUUUGACUCUUUCUUGCUCAACAGAUAUUUCAGUGCUGAGUGAUCAGUAUGUACUAUCACCUUGCUUCCCACUAGAUAGGAUAUAAACUUGUCAAAAGCGAAGACCAAUGCAAAGAACUCCUUCUCUGUGGUAGUAGCAUAGUUCACCUGAGCAUCAUUCAAAGUCCGGCUUGCAUAGUAAAUGGGUCUGAAUAUUUUAUCUCUUCUCUAUCCCAACACUGCUCCCACUGCCACAUCACUGCAUCACACAUGAUCUCAAAAGCUUCGCUCCAGUCGGGAGUCACCAUUAUGGGGGCAGUCACUAGCUUUUUCUUGAUCAGCUCAAAUGCUCUAAGGCACUCUACAUCAAACACAAACGUCACAUCCUUGGCAAGUAAUGUUGUUAAGGGCUUGGUGAUGCUAGAGAAAUUCUUGAUGAACCUUCUAUAAAAUCAUGCAUGCCCUAGAAAGCUUAUGAUGCUCUUCACUAAAGUUGGUGGUGGGAACUUAGUAAUCACAUCUACCUUAGCUCUGUCGACCUCGAUACCUUCAGUUGUGACUUUGUGGCCCAAGACUAUCACAUCCUUAACCAUGAAGUGACACUUUUCUCAGUUGAGUACUAGGUGCGUGUCUUGACAUGUUUCAGUACAAGUUCUAGAUUCCUCAAAAAAUCCUGGAAGUCAUCCCCAAAGAGAGUAAAUCAUCCAUAAACACCUCUAGACACUUCCCAUUCAAAUUUGAAAAGAAUGACAUCAUGCACCUCCGAACAGUAGUUGGUGCAUUGCAAAGUACAAAAGGCAUUCUUCGAUAUGCAAAGAUUCCGAAAGGGCGGAUAAUGUGAUUUUCUCAACAUCUUCGGGAGCAAUGGGUAUUUGAUUGUACCUUGAAUAACCAUCUUAAAAGCAGUAACAUUUGCGCCCUGCCAGCUUCUCAAGUUUCAUUUUCUCAAAUUCUGAUCCGGAAAGCAAGCAACUGAGAUUGAGUCAUAAUCUUUUCUUCAAAGGGCGUCAAGAUUCAAUCUAUGGUCAACACAAGAGAGCAGGUUAAGAAUCAAGAUUUGACUCCUGAAGACACAUAGAUAGGAAUUUUGUAACUCUUAGGUUGCAAACAUAUGUAGUUAUCUUCUCUUUUUCUUUUGAUGUAAGCAGCAAGUGACAGUAACAGCAACAACAGCAGUAGCAGUCUUAACUCCAAUGUCUGGUAGUCCUAUCUACCAAAACAUUUUCAGAACUACACUGACCUGAUUCUUUUAUAGCCAAGGAUAUGUAGGCAACCUCGGAGGCAAGGUUCGGUCACCUUUUUCAAAAUGCUCUCAUUGGAGUCAUAGGCGAGCAAGAGUUAGUCAUGGCAUUCACUAUCUUUGCAUAGAAAUUUUUCAUGUUCUCGAGUAAAGAGGGGCAGCUGUGAAUACCUAAUUUUUGCACGAUUUUUCCAAAAAAAAAAAGAAUAACUUUUGGAUGAUUUUAGCUAUUUUAGUUUUUUUUCUUUGAACUUAUUUGCGCAUUUUUAUGUGAGUUUAAUUAAAAAGUACCAAAAUAUUUUUUACUUUUUAUUUGUAUAUUUUAGUUUGCAUCUUUAAAGAAUUUUCUUUUUACUUGUAUAUUUUCUUUAAGACUAAAUAAUAUUAUAGUAUAAUUAGGGAUUACGGGAUUGGGCUAGUGUAUUUUAAUUGAAAUUGAGCCAAAAUUGGCCCAAACUCAGAAGCCCAAAGAACCCACAAACCCAGUCCAAAUGGGGCUACCAGAGGAGGGUUCAAAUGACGUAGUUUCAUAAUAAAACUACGUCGUUGUAAUAAAUAAAGCAAGAUCAAAUCUUACCCAUCUAUUUCAUCUUGAUCCAAUAGCUCUCAUUCGCUCUCUGCCUAGGUAUUUAAAGCUUCAAAAAUCUGAAAAUUGCCCCCAUUUUUCACCCAUAAUUCUUUUCUCCUUCCUCUCUCUUCUCUCUCUCUUUCUUCACUCUCUCUUUCUCCCUAGCCGCCGCCCCUCUGCCGUCGCCAAAAAUCGCCCACCGGCUGCGGACCAUUUUCAAACACCCCCACAUUUACACUGUGUAAUCUUCACAACCUCCUCUUUCUAUAUCUCCAAACCAAAUCCUUGAAAACACCCUCAAAAUCUACGAAAUUUAGAUCUAGGAAAUACUAGCCAUCACUUUUUUGCCCAAAUAUUUGAAGCUCCGGCCACUACCACCUCGCAAUACCUACAUCAACGGAUAGAGAUCCUCAAGAUCUACCCAUUGAUGUCAAUUCCACCCCAAAACUCUGGCGAUAAAUUUCCCGGCCACCCCUUACUACCGCUGCGCCACCACUGCUUCUGUAUUCGAAGUUGGGUAAAAUCGAUUUCCUUUCUCCCCGUCCUUGUUUUUUUUUUUUUUGCGAUUGGUGAAGUAAGAAGCUGAUUGUAAUGUUGUAAUGGCCAAAAGGUCAAUUUCGAUAAGAGCCAGUGCUUCCUCUCGUACAGAGCUCCUCGCAGAAAUUCCAGAUCAUUGAAGAGGAAUAAAAAAAAUGGUAGUUUUCCUAUCAAGUACCUGGAUGUUUUCUUGUCCCUCAAAAGAAUAAAGAGAGAACCUUCCUCUACUGGAGAAAAUGAAAAAGAAAAUAUCAGAUUUAAUGUUUUUGUUUUAAUUAAAAUUUUGUUAGUGUUCAUUUUAGUUUAAUAUUCAAUCUAGUUUUUGAUUUUGUCGUCGUUUAACUUAAUCGACUUCGCUAGUUGUUUCAUUAUUAACAUGUGUUCUGCUUGCUUUGAUUUUAGUUGUUAAGUUCUAAUUUCUCUUGUUGAUUAAUAGUCCAAAUUGUUAAGUCUAGUUAGGUCAUAUUCUUAUUUUUUUAAUUAUUUUUUGAGCAAGUAGGUUGGUACUGAUUUAGUUAAAGCUGAAUACUUGAGUACAUGGUUGGUAUUUUUUUUAUUGUUCAAAGACUUUGGAGUACAAAACUCAAAAGUCAUUUGUUUGGUGAAAAAUACUACUUUAUGACAGCUUUUGAACCUAAGUCUAUCUUUUGAAUAGUAAGAGCAGACUUUGGUGAAAAUACUCUUUUUUUGGACAAAAUUGAACUAAAAAGUCUUGUAUUUUGAAUAUUUGGGGCAGAUUUUGUUGAAAAAUCUGUCAAAAGAGGGCAUAAAUCAGCAGCUAAAGCAUCCUUUAGUAAGCUAAAAUUGUGAGCUUUGUGAGUGUUUCUUAGAGUGCAAAACUUUCGAGAAAAAUAGAAAGACCCCUUAGGCAAUUUGUGAAGUUGUUUAGCUACUAGUUUCAAGCAUCCUUGUUGGUUUUCUGGGCUGUUUCUACUGUUAUUUCUGUUUAUUUCACUGCUGUAUUUUUUUUUAUAAUUCUGUGACCCAAGUAACUCUUUAACCAUGUAUUACAGAUUCUUUCACAUUAAUGAAGAUGUGAACUCAUUUUUGAAUUAUUGGAGCAUGACUACAUUUGAAAUUGCCUAAAAAUGAAUGUUGCAUUUGUUUAAGAAUGUAAAUAUGUUAAAGUUAUUUGUAACAUCAUGCUUUCCAUUACAUUUAUAGUUGAGGUUGUAUUCUAGUGUAUCUGGUUGAGGAUUUAAAGUUACAAAUAUUUCAUGUUUAGUCUGUUAAAGGUUGUUUAAUUAUUAAUAUGGUAUGGAUUCGAAACAUGCAAACUUAAGAAUUUUGCUUCUUGUAUGUGACGU
rnacentral:lncRNA from 1 species